rnacentral:rRNA from 1 species
AUGCAAAGCCGCGCGAGAGCGCUGUCAAAGAGUACCUGAAAUUGCUGAAAAGGAAGCAAAGGAAACCAGUGUUAGCCAACCCGCAUUUCCUCAUCUGCUUGCGGUUGAGGCGCUGCGGCUGGUGUUGUCCUCGUUGGCGGUUGGCAGCGGAAGAGUCUUCGGAUUGGCGCUGCGGGCUGCUGAUGUGGACGAAAUGGUUUUCUUUUUCCCGUCUUGAAACACGGACCAAGGAGUCUAACAUUUGUGCGAGUACAAGGGUGGCAAACCCUGGUGCGCAAUGAAAGUGACAGUGGCUGGAAAUUUGCACAGUCCGCCGGCCCCAAUCCCUCGGGAGAAUGGUCUGAGUGUGAGCACGUAUGUUGGGACCCGAAAGAUGGUGAACUAUGCCUGAAUAGGGCGAAGCCAGGGGAAACUCUGGUGGAGGCUCGUAGCGAUUCUGACGUGCAAAUCGAUCGUCAAAUUUGGGUAUAGGGGCGAAAGACUAAUCGAACCAUACUAGUAGCUGGUUCCCUCCGAAAUUUCCCUCAGGAUAGCUGCGAUCGAAUCCACUUUUAUCA